UGAAGUAACCUAAUGAGCUUCUAACUCAUAUGAUUUAUGAUUAUUUUCAUACUACUUCAC
rnacentral:tRNA from 1 species